CACCUAUAAGACCUAACUGGCAAGUUGUAACCAACCAACCCUGGAGCUCAUAGGUCAUAAAGGUACUUUAAACAGUUAAAUAGAUACAACCUAGAAAUUGCUUGCAGCUCUCUCUCUCUGACAUUAAUAAAUACCCAAUAUUUCUUCUCUGUUCUGCUUCUGUUCAGCCCCAAGCUGAUAGAUAUGAUUUUUCUGUCUAAAUUAACUCACCAGAGCCCCUUCAUCACCAUCAUCUCUCCUUUGCCAGCUUUUCUAGUUUGCACCCCAACUCUUCCAUCUCAGCCUCUCCAACACAGAAUUUUCUAAUGGCUUCCACAAUACAGAAGCCAGUAAAACAACUCGCAGAGCUCCUCCAGGAGCAACAAGAACCCUUUGUCCUAGAGGUUUACCUAUUUGAAAGAGGGUAUCUGAGAAAGAGCUUGAGUUCAAAUAGAGAGGGUGGCUCUAGUUUCUGCAAGACUUUUAACAGAUCAUGCAGUUGGGGCCUAAGGAAGAGCAAGGGUGCUCUCAGCUGUUCCAAAGUACUGAGAUCUGUGUAUAACAAGCUUGUUUCAAGAAACAGUGGGCCAAGCAAUAAGAGUUCUGAAAACAAAGAAGCAGAACUCAAUGCCGACACCGAAAUGCGCAGAAAGAACCAAGAAAUUGUGGAUUCAGGUAGAUUUUCCUCUGCUAGCAGUAGGACACAGUAUGAUUCAUGCUCGGAGGGUGAGAAGGAUGAAGCAUCAGUUUCUUUGCAAAAUGAUCAUAAGGCCUCCCUUGCAGCCGACACUUCUCAAGUUUCAAAACCCUGCAAUAUGAUCAAAGAGAGAAAGGUUGCUACAGAUAGAACAGUUCAAUGGAGGUUCAUUGAAGAGUCACCGUAAGCAACAAAACCCCGUUUCAGUACUAAAAGAUACACCACCUUCCCAUGCAGAUGCAGUGCAAGAACUCCCGGCCAUGUCAAGAAAAAAGGAAAGUCCAUGUCCAUCUACUUGUAAUUUCAAGCUAGCAGACGACUCAAUAGUAUCAGCUUCUCUGUGGGAGCUGCUUUUCCAGCCAGCAUUAGAGAAGCCAAGAGGGUCUGGAGUUUCAGAAAAGCUAGAGCCAGUCAGGUCUAAUAUUAAUCCUUCCCCUCACUUCGCGAAAUCCAAGAUGGUGUUGCAGCAAACAAGGCAGCUUCUGUUUGAUUGUGUGAGAGAGAUGACAGAAACUCAUGCAAAGAAAGGGAGAGAAAAGCAGCGAAACUGCAAAGGGUUCCUGGGAGCCGAAGAGAUUGGAAACCUGCUUUAUGAGAAAUUAGGGACAUGGGGCAAUCAGGCUGGACAUGAAGCCUACAUAAAUUUUGUUUUGGAGUUGGACUUGUUGGGUUCAGCUGAAGAAUGGAGUAACAAUUACCAAGAAAGAAGGGAAAUCGGGAACGAAAUCGGCGACACCAUUUUAGAAGAGAUCAUCGAAGAAAUUGUUGCUGAAAAGUGAUAAAAUAAUUGUCUGAUACCAAAGUUAGUUGAGCUAAUUGAAUUCUAAUGAUAGCAAACUCAUGUCAACUUUGCUGUUCUCUCCCCAUCAUCACCAUUAAGUUCUGGUACUUAAUUAACAAAAAAGAA